rnacentral:rRNA from 1 species
CACGUAGGGCGCAAGCGUUGUCCGGAAUUAUUGGGCGUAAAGAGCUCGUAGGCGGUCUGUUGCGUCCGCUGUGAAAACUCGGGGCUUAACCCCGAGCCUGCGGUGGAUACGGGCAGACUAGAGUGCGGUAGGGGAGAUUGGAAUUCCUGGUGUAGCGGUGGAAUGCGCAGAUAUCAGGAGGAACACCAAUGGCGAAGGCAGAUCUCUGGGCCGUAACUGACGCUGAGGAGCGAAAGCAUGGGGAGCGAACAGG